UUACUAUAAUAUUUUUGGUUACAUUUUCACGAAAGAGUGUGAGCUAGAUAUAAUGUAUUUUAGGUAUAAACUAUUACGUAAUAGAGUAAUAGCUCAAUUUAUAUCUCGGAGUGAUAGGCCUUUCAAACGUCUUGAUAACUUGUUGUGUGGUAAAUAUAUUAAGUAUUAUAGCAUACUAUAAAAGUUAAGCUUUAUAGUUUGUAUAAAAGAAAGUAAUUUUUGAUUGCUAUAAAUUAACCCUUUAGCAGUAAGGUAACUAAAUAUUAAUCUUAUAUUAUUAUAUAAACUACCACACUAUUAUUACUUUACAAAGAUAGAUAAUGUAAGUAUAAGUAGUUAUAUUAAAUAUUUUAAAGGAACUCGGCAAAUAACCACUCAACUGUUUAUCAAAAACAUAACUAUAUGGCAUAAUAUAUAGCUUUUUCUGCUCCAUGAUACAUUAAAUAGCCGCAGUACCCUGACUGUGCAAAGGUAGCAUAAUCAAUUGGCUUUUAAUUAAGGUCUAGCAUGAAUGAAAGCAUGGGUGGUAACUGUCUUAAUAUAUUAUUUGAAUUUAGUAAGCAAGUGCAAAUACUUGUACUAAUAAAAAAGACGAGAAGACCCUAGAAACUUGAGAUAUUUUUGUUGGGGCGACAGAAUUACAAAUAACUAAUUUUAUUUAACAUGACGUUGAGCAGGUAGACUAAGUUACUCUAGGGAUAACAGCAUAAUUUUCUAUAGUUUGUGACCUCGAUGUUGGACUAGGAAUAUAACUUUUUAGAAGGGAGUUUUAUGUGCUCUGUUCGAGCAGCAAAUCCUACAUGAUCUGAGUU
rnacentral:rRNA from 1 species